UCGUCUUUUUCAAUGUCACUCUAUGUCUACUGCAUGCUGCUGGUAGACGGGUGCUGCAGUGCUGAACAGCACAUCCCCUUCCUGGUGGCAGACUGAUGAAGAAUGAAAUCAGUCA